AUUGAACGCUGGCGGCAGGCCUAACACAUGCAAGUCGGACGGUAGCACAGAGAGCUUGCUCUUGGGUGACGAGUGGCGGACGGGUGAGUAAUGUCUGGGGAUCUGCCCGAUAGAGGGGGAUAACCACUGGAAACGGCGGCUAAUACCGCAUAACGUCGCAAGACCAAAGAGGGGGACCUUCGGGCCUCACACUAUCGGAUGAACCCAGAUGGGAUUAGCUAGCAGGCGGGGUAAUGGCCCACCUAGGCGACGAUCCCUAGCUGGUCUGAGAGGAUGACCAGCCACACUGGAACUGAGACACGGUCCAGACUCCUACGGGAGGCAGCAGUGGGGAAUAUUGCACAAUGGGCGCAAGCCUGAUGCAGCCAUGCCGCGUGUAUGAAGAAGGCCUUCGGGUUGUAAAGUACUUUCAGCGGGGAGGAAGGCGGUACGGUUAAUAACCGUACCGAUUGACGUUACCCGCAGAAGAAGCACCGGCUAACUCCGUGCCAGCAGCCGCCGUAA
rnacentral:rRNA from 1 species